GGGGGUGUACUGGUUUCGACGGGGGAUAUUGGUGGCUUGAGAAGCGAGUCGAGGUCGCACUAGCUCGAUAAACAGUGCAAAAAAAGUAAACGCUAAACCAAAUUACGCUUUAGCUGCUUAAUUGCAGUCUAACCUCUUACCUGUUGUGCCUGCGGUACGGGAUAAGGGGCCACUUUAGCGGGCUACUCUUAAGUGAACGCCUUGUAGCUUAAGGGGAAACUAACAUGGCUGGCCAAAGGAAAUCCUGUUUGUGGGAGUUCUAGAGGUAAGAUCCUAAAACACAAACUACACUCGUAGAUGCUCAAGUGGCUGGUCUUUCGGACAGGGGUUCGAUU
rnacentral:tmRNA from 1 species